GCUACUUACCAGCAAACAGGGAAGUUUUGUCUAUAUAGCGGUGUUUGUACAAACGUGAUCAUUUUAUUGUUCUUUGCUCUAAUAUCAUUUUAUAAAAAUUAAUAAGAAAUAAAACAACUGCUGAAACUAAAAUGAUAGGAAGCAUAUGUCUCAAACUUAAUACUAUAAAGACCAUAUUAGAAAUCUGAAGCAUGACAAAAAUGUAACUCUCUGGCCUCAACUGACUAGAAAUUUAUUGCUGAUUGUGUUUUCUGUCCCUUCUGGAUUUUUACAAGUCAUGGAUCCUACUACAUUCUUUCUGCAUAUUGAACCAACCUUCUGGGGAGACAGUGGACCUACCAGACACCUACCGGACUGCAACAAUUGUUUCACGUGAUCUUUCAGACGAGAGCAAAUGUCUUCCUAAAUAGAAAAAAAGUUCAGGAAGUCAUUUUCAUAAAGAGUUUUAAUAAAGAGUAAACUAAAAAUUAUGAUACAUAAUUAGAUUUGAUGUCAAACACAAGAUCAUCACAUGGGAGCAUCACCUCUUUUACAAGUCAACAGAGAAUGGAGACCCCCAACCCAAUAAGGAAAAGCCACCAGGAUCCACUCUUCUCCAGUCAUCCAAGAAGGGCUACUGUCCAAGUCCAACUAACUUCAAUGUUACCCUAUGUUUGGCCAAAACUAACUUUAAAAUAAAAUAAAAUAAAAAUUUAUGAAGC
rnacentral:lncRNA from 10 species